rnacentral:lncRNA from 1 species
GAAAGCAUAGAAGAAAUGGGACGAGAAUUCCAAUCUAUUGCAAAGCAUUUUCCCUCUUCUUUCUACCAAACAUCAUGACUGAACCCCAACUUACUUACUUUUACCUCUGAGAUCUCAGGAGCUAAGACUGUAGGGGAGGCUGUGGGAAUUCCAGCAUGCACAGUGUGGUUUGAAAUCCACAGACAAGGGAGCAUGGCUUCCUUCCUUGGCCUGCUGCCCCACGCGCGGUGAGCAGAGCAGCCAAGCCAAAGUGGCAGCCGCAGUGUGGGAGCCCAGCUCUGCUGCCAUAAAUUAGCCAGGGGCAGGAAGGAGCAGUGAGAGUCAGCGGUUUCAGCUACCUAGUAGUUCAUUUUUGUUCUUGUUUUUCAGUUAGCAAUCUGUAAAAUUUAUUGCAAAAUUAAGCUCCCUGCUCCAGAGUCAAUAAUAUUCCUGGUGCCAGGUGGUGUAAUAAUUCACAAAAAGGGCAGGAGCUGGAGAGAAUGAGACUGAUUUAGGAAGUAGACUUCCAAGCCCGAUUUGCUGCUGCCUACUCCCUGCUGCUAAAGGUCAGCUUUUCAAUGUUAUAUGAUCCUGGACUUAGCAUCUAUGGAGUGCUUGGAUUAUUAAGAAACCUAACAUUGCAAAUGGGUCUUGGAGAAAGAGAAGAUAGCACAGUGGACUCAACAAAAGUCUCAGGUGAAGACUGCUGA